GGCUCUGCAGGAAGGGAACUUUGCAUACUUUUGGCCCACAGCAACUGUUGAAAAGAGGAGGGAGAUCAUCCUCAGGGCAAUUGGUUUCUACCUUAUGAAGACCCAAACAUCCUCUUUAAAGAACACCCGGAUCUGAUGCUACAGCCGUUCCGAGGGAGCUUGGACAAGUUAUCUUUACAGCAUCCGUGUUGAGGGAGGUGAUGCUACCGCUCCUCCAGCUGAUGUUGGGAUAGUCACCGAGGGUGCUGAAGUUCUGCAUGACUUGGGAGACAUCGCCUCUACACGUGCACUCUUAAUAGGUGUAAUUAUGCACUGAAGCUCAGUUAUCCUCAGAACCUUAAAGCCUUCUUUGAGGUACUUCACAAGUGAUUCUUUCAACUAGAUGCUAGCAAACUCUCAACCAAGGUACAGAUGCUCAAGAACAAACUCUAUGAAUGAGCCAUUGAUUUGGAGGCUGUGUUCUGUGGAAUUGGCAGAAUUCUAAGCAGUGCAUCAUCAAAAUUGUUGACAACUAAACAUUAUUUUGCAAACUUUUCAACACUUUAUAGUGCUGAUAAUUUUACUGUAUUAUUUUUUUCACCAGUUGCACCAAAAUGAUAUUGAUGUGUUGGUGAAUAAAGUCCAUAACAAAAUUCAGUUGAAAUGAAUUUGUGUGGGACCAGUUGACAAACAUUUGAUUUGUGUCAAUCUAAUUUGGAAAAAAAUUUUUACUACUCCAAAUAAAAUAUUGAAAGGUAAGCUUAAAUAUAUUGUUGAUCAGAAGUUUUUUUAGUUGGAUCAAUUGACAUUCAUUGUGUUACUCUUAUACAAGUUCAUUACAUUUUUUUUGCUUUUAACUAACCUAAAACAAUUUUGUGGAAUCUGUUGAAAAAAUAAAUAUAAUUAAAAUCAAA